GCCCUGAUGCUGGAAUUGGCAGACAGGCUAGCUUCAGGAGCUAGUGUCCGUAAGGACGUGAGAGUUCGAGUCUCUCUCAGGGUACAA
rnacentral:tRNA from 1 species